UGGGAUGCCGAAGUCGGGUCCCGCAUCAACCACUCGCUGAAAUUCAGGAGAUAGUUAAGAUGAC
rnacentral:sRNA from 1 species